CUAGGACGAUCACAAUUUAUAUUGCGCAGUAAUAAUUGUACAAAUUUCUAGGUUUAGAAAUUAAAAGCAAAAAGUGAGGGUAAUUUUAUCUUUUGAAUCUGUUCUUUCUUCUACCAAUUUCUCGAUCAUUCUUACUUUUUCUUCUCUCUCUCCUUAGUUUCUCUAGAAUUCCUCUUCUUUACCCUCUAAGACACUAAAGUCAAGCAGGAACUCAUAACCCAAGGGGCAUUCAAGAAAGCGUUUCUGUUAUUACGCUGGCUGGGCAUAUAGCAUUCAUGGUAUGAAUAUUCCUGUUGGUGAACCAACUCAUGUUCAAAUGUUGCAUGAACUGAUUGGGUUUGCUGGUUAAAUUACCUCUUGAAAUUUUUCACUCAUGUUUUCUUAGAAGAUCGGCCUUGAUUUAGCUUGUGGCAACAAUAUCGUGUAAAAGACGGCUUAGCAAACCCCAUUAACUGUGCUCUAUGUAGCAAAUCUAUUGCAGGAAAUAGCAUCCGAAUUUCCUCUUUUAUUGCCCAAGAGUGUCGUUCUGCACAAGCAGCAACAUACCCAACGUAUUUUCACAAAUGGGGCCUGGGAAGGUUCGUGUGCAUGCAACCUUACUCCCUACUUUGUGAAGUUAGAGAGAUCGAAUAUGCUGAUAACAAAAAUUAUUGAAGUAUUUUUUUCAUGGACAAAUUUUGCUGGAGUUCAAGGGGAAUAUACGAUACAAAAAGAACUGCAUAGAAGCACCUUGAUACUAAUUUAUGGGUGCCUCAUAUUGGUAGGAACCGGCUUUGCUCCACACUCUCCUCCUCGUGGCUAGACUGUUCGUUGAAGGCUACUAUUAGUGUUUCUUUUCUUGAUGCCUAUACACCCUCUCGCAGGGAUUCCAGUUUUAAAGGGAGCUCUUGACCAAUUGGAAAAAAUGUUAGCUAACUUUUGGCUGAUGUAUGCAUGCAUAUCAGUUGUUGAGAAAAGGUGGUCUCAAAGAUGAAAAUAUUAUUGUCUUCAUGUAUGAUUGCUUACAAUGAAGAAAAUCCACGACCUUGAGUUAUCAUUAAUAGUCCUGUGGUGAGGAUGUUUAUAAAGGAGUUCCUAAGGAUUACACUGAGAUGAUGUUAAUGUGGACAACUUUUUAGUUAUUCUCCUUGGCGACAAAACUGCUCUUACUAGGUAGCAGAAAGAUGGUGAAUAGUGGUCCAAAUGAUCAUAUUUUCAUAUUCUAUCUAUAGUGAUCGAUCAUGGUGGCCCUGGGGUGCUUGGUUAGUAGUUUAUUUAUGCCUCUUUGGUUGUUUCUUUGCUUUUUAUAUCUUGCGCUUUUAUACUAAUAUCGUUAUGAAAUAUUUGAAGGCUUGCAUCUGAGUCUGCAACUCAAGAAAUUCACGUCUAUUGAAUAUUAAUGACCAUUAUCUCACUACUAUCUACUGUUUGAAAAAAAAUGAUACCUAUUCGUUCAUUGUAAAAGAUUUAUCAGAGGUAAAUGUAAACUGAAUGAAAUCUGAGAUUUUAAAUAGUACUCGUAUUGUGUAUUGAAGUUUAGAGUAAGGAACGUGGAGAUGUGGUCUGCAUUUCAAAUAUUCAAUUAGUGAGAGUGUUUUACCUCUGUUAAGCUUUUUUUCCCGAGGUGAGUGUUUUACCUCUGUUAAGCUUUUUAUGUUUAUUUUGAAUAUAUAAUAUGUGUGAGAGUGUGUUUGUGCUAUAAAGGAUAAUAACUAUUGAUAAGAAAAAGCUUAAGCCAAAGAUAUAUCUUGCAUCUUGCAAUACAUUGAGAUACAGAUUCAUAGUUUUGACUACAAGCCGGAGAGAAAAAAGUUGGAAGAAAGAGCUAGAAAAGCUAAUGCGAAAACAAGUCAUUUAGAAGCUCUCGCUUCGGUCAUGGAUGUACUUCUAUUUUGAAGAGCUUCUUGGACUUUUUGUUAUUUGGAAUUUUCUGUACCUUUCUUUCUGUUAUUUUUCAAAAUAUUAUUACACUCAUGCAGAUAGGCUUUAAAGUUGAGGUGUUUUAUUGUAGUACAAAUAAAAAAUUGAAACAGUAUCUGAUUUUCAUCUGACAAUGAAUAUGUAAACUCCUGUAGUGUAAUUGUUUGAGAAUAUUACUAUAACUUGUCCCCUUUUCAUUGCAUGGCAACAAUAUUUGUUCAUAAUAAUUCUUUCAAAAUCAUACACACGGGCAUUCCAUAUCUAGUUUUUAAUUAAAAAAUGUACUUUUUAUCAUAAAAUAAUAUGUCCAAUAUGUACAUAAUUUAUUUUUGGUAAAAAAUUUGGGCCCCUUGUUAUUGCUCUCAGUUCUGUCUCCCAUUUUUCAAGUUGCUUGGAAAUAAUUUAUUUUGAGCCGGAUAUAUCGAAAAUAACCUGUCUAUCUCUACGAGGUAGAGAUAAGAUUUAUUUACAUACUAUCCUCCGCAUACUUCACUUAUAAAAUUAUACUGGUAUAUU